UACGGAAGGCAGCAGUGGGGAAUAUUGCACAAUGGGCGCAAGCCUGAUGCAGCCAUGCCGCGUGUAUGAAGAAGGCCUUCGGGUUGUAAAGUACUUUCAGUCGUGAGGAAGGUGUUAAGGUUAAUAACCUUAGCAAUUGACGUUAGCGACAGAAGAAGCACCGGCUAACUCCGUGCCAGCAGCCGCGGUAAUACGGAGGGUGCGAGCGUUAAUCGGAAUUACUGGGCUAAAGGGCACGCAGGCGGUUAAUUAAGUUGGAUGUGAAAUCCCCGGGCUUAACCUGGGAAUGGCAUUCAAGACUGGUUAGCUAGAGUCUUGUAGAGGGGGUAGAAUUCCAUGUGUAGCGGUGAAAUGCGUAGAGAUGUGGAGGAAUACCGGUGGCGAAGGCGGCCCCUGGGACAAAGACUGACGCUCAUGUGCGAAAGCGUGGGGAGCAAACGAGGAUUAGAUACC
rnacentral:rRNA from 1 species